AAUGAACGCUGGCGGCGUGCUUAACACAUGCAAGUCGAACGAGAACGGGAUUGCUUGCAAUCCUUAUUAAAGUGGCGCACGGGUGAGUAACACGUGGAUAACCUACCUUUGCUCCGGAACAACAUUGCGAAAGCGAUGCUAAUACCGGAUACGAUUUAAGAAUCUUCGGGAAUUUAAAUGAAAGAUUGCCUCUGCUUGCAUGCAAUUGACAAAAGAUGGGUCCGCGUACCAUUAGCUAGCUGGUGGGGUAAUGGCCUACCAGGGCAACGAUGGUUAGCUGGUCUGAGAGGAUGAUCAGCCACACUGGAACUGACACACGGUCCAG
rnacentral:rRNA from 1 species